ACGAGACCUUGAUAGGUUCAAUCUACUUGGUCCUCCGACUCUUCUUUCUUUUACUCCCAUUUCCUUCCAGGUUUGCGGUCCCCCUCGCACCCACGAAUAACUGAGUCCCGCGGGACGGGAUAAGUGGCGCCCGACGUGAGGGCGAGGUCCAGAUCGUAAUUCCUAAUCAGUGGAGGUUCCAGAGAAGUUCGUCGCGACCCCAAGAAUUUAAAAGUAGUGAAGGACACCUUCCGCUGCUCACGGAAGAGCGAGAAGUCCUUGGUGAGUUGAGUCAUCUCCACUUCAGGUUAUGGGACAUAAGCUAUCUAAAGAGGCAGCCUUCAUCAAAGGUUUAAAGAUAGCUCUCAGAGAAAGAAGAGUACGAGUUAAAAAAAAAAAGAUUAAAUAGACUUUUUAUUUUCAUAGACCAGAUAUGUCCAUGGUUUAUUAUAGAUGAAGCAGAGAUACGUUGUAAAAAAUGGUGAAAGGUAGGUAGAGAUCUAAAUGAUAAACUAGCUAAUGAGGGUCCCGAUGUGGUCCCUGCAACUGUCUUUUCUGUCCCGAUGCAGUCCCUACAACUGUUUUUUCUUAUUGAAAAGUAAAUAUCAAAAGCAGCCAUUGUACCUCCUCUCCCUUCUCUGGAAGUAUUCCCAGAAGAAGGAGAUAAGGAAGUAGACUCUGAACAUGAGAGAAAGAAAAUAAGUUUUAGAAAAGCAGUUAUCCCCUGUUUGAGAUCUUUUAGC
rnacentral:lncRNA from 1 species